CAAUCUUAUUCUAUGCAUUUCUCAAUAUAUUACUUUUUUUUUGGCAUGGAGGAACACACUACAAGACACCUUCCAAAAAUAGAAUGUGUAUAAUUUUUCCCAACCUACACCAUGACAAUCGGUUACAUGGGAAAUCAACAAUUAUUUUUUUCAAGAAAACAAAAGAAAAAAAAACACUAAUAAAAUCCCUAUAUAGGAGAAGUGGAACAAAACUUAAUUAUUAAAAAAAUAAAAAUACAGAAGCCAAAGAAUCAGAGAAAAGUGGAGAUGCUGAAACUGAGCUGAACUCAAUAUUGGCAAGGAGGCACUUUCCUUAAAGAAAAUUUGAUUCCAACGUCAAAAGUUUCCGGUACUUUUUUUAUUUUAUUUUUUUGUCAGAAAAUAAACUACUUUAUCUUAAAGACACGUAUGUGGUGGGGAAAUACUUACUUAGGAAAGAGUAUCUAUAAAAGAUGAGAAAUAGAAUAGAUUUAAGGUUUAAUUAGUCUAUUCGUUUCUUAAAGAAAUUUUAGGUUUCACAAUAG
rnacentral:lncRNA from 1 species